rnacentral:rRNA from 1 species
AGUGAACGCUGGCGGUAGGCCUAACACAUGCAAGUCGAACGGCAGCACAGUAAGAGCUUGCUCUUACGGGUGGCGAGUGGCGGACGGGUGAGGAAUACAUCGGAAUCUACUUUUUCGUGGGGGAUAACGUAGGGAAACUUACGCUAAUACCGCAUACGACCUACGGGUGAAAGCAGGGGGUCUUCGGACCUUGCGCGAUUGAAUGAGCCGAUGUCGGAUUAGCUAGUUGGCGGGGUAAAGGCCCACCAAGGCGACGAUCCGUAGCUGGUCUGAGAGGAUGAUCAGCCACACUGGAACUGAGACACGGUCCAGACUCCUACGGGAGGCAGCAGUGGGGAAUAUUAGACAAUGGGCGCAAGCCUGAUCCAGCCAUACCGCGUGGGUGAAGAAGGCCUUCGGGUUGUAAAGCCCUUUUGUUGGGAAAGAAAAGCAGCAGGUUAAUACCCCGCUGUUCUGACGGUACCCAAAGAAUAAGCACCGGCUAACUUCGUG